rnacentral:rRNA from 1 species
GAUGAACGCUGACAGAAUGCUUAACACAUCAGCGACGGAUUGGUGGCGGACGGGUGAGUAACGCGUAAAGAACUUACCUCACAGCUAGGGACAACAUUAGGACACGAAUGCUAGUACCUAAUCCAGUGAGAGAGCUGUGCAUCCCAUUAGCUAGUUGGAGAGGUAACGGCGCACCAAUGCGAUACUGGGUAGCCGGCCUGAGAGGGUGAUCGGCCACAAGGGGACUUAGAAACGGCCAUUACUCAAUCGUGAGGAAGGAGUGGGGAAUUGUGGACAACGGCCCAAAGUCUGAUCCAGCAAUUCGGUGUGCAAGAUUAAGUUUUCGGAAUGAAAAGGGAUCUCAGUUGGGAAGCGGUACCAACAGAAUAAGUGACGGCUAAAUACGUGCCAGCAGCCGCGGUAAUAC